AAGACACAGCAGAAUGUACAGGGAAGUACAGCCAGAGAGAGUGAAAGCCUCGUAAGCGAAGUGUGUGACGCAUGAGACGGGAUCCUGAGUACGGCGGGACACGAGAAAUCUUGUCGGAAGCAGGCGGGACCAUCCGCCAAGGCAAAAUAUACAGUGUGAGCGAUAGAGAACGAGUACCGUGAGGGAAAGGUGAAAAGAACCGCGGGAGCGGAGUGAAAGAGAACCUGAAACCGUGUGCCUAAAAGAAGUCAGAGCCCGUCAAAGGGUGAUGGCGUGCCUUUUGUAGAAUGAACCGGCGAGUUGUUCCAUGGUGCGAGGUUAAGUCGGAAAGGACGGAGCCGAAGCGAAAGCGAGUCUUAAGAGGGCGUUAAGAGUAGUAUGGAGCAGACCCGAAACCGGGUGAUCUAGCCAUGGGCAGGUUGAAGCAGAAGUGAAAUUCUGUGGAGGACCGAACCGACUACCGUUGAAAAGUUAGCGGAUGACCUGUGGCUAGGGGAGAAAUUCCAAUCGAACCCGGAGAUAGCUGGUUCUCCCCGAAAUAGCUUUAGGGCUAGCGUCGGAGGAUGACAGACGGAGGUAGAGCACUGAACGCAUGAUGGCCCCAUCCCGGGGUACUGAAUGCGAUCAAACUGCGAAUGCCGACUGGGAGGAAUCCGGCAGUGAGACUGUGGGUGAUAAGGUCCAUGGUCGAGAGGGAAAGAGCCCAGACCGCCAGCAAAGGUCCCAAAAUACUGGCUAAGUGGAAAAGGAUGUGGGGACGCACGGACAGCUAGGAGGUUGGCUCAGAAGCAGCCAUCCUUGAAAGAGUGCGUAACAGCUCACUAGUCGAGUGGCCCUGCGCCGAAAAUGUACCGGGGCUUAAGCCAGGUACCGAAGCUGCGGAUGUAUAUGGAAGUAUAUGUGGUAGGGGAGCGUUGCAUGCAGGAAGAAGUAUGACGGAGACGGCAUAUGGACAGCAUGGAAGAGAGAAUGCCGGUGUGAGUAGCGAGAUGCAGGUGAGAAUCCUGCACACCGAAAGCCCAAGGAUUCCAGGGGAAGGUUCGUCCGCCCUGGGUAAGUCGGGACCUAACGUGAGGCCGAAAGGCGCAGCGGAUGGAAAGCAGGCGGAGAUUCCUGCACCCGUAUAUGGAGCGAAGGAGUGACGGAGAAGGCAGAUGCGACCCUCUUACUGGAUUGAGGGCCAAGCGAAGCAGGUGGUAUCCAGGCAAAUCCGGAUACGGAAACCAGAGCGUGACGGGUAAGCGAAAGCGGAAGGCGAGUAGCGAAGCGCAUCGAGUCAGCUUCCAGGAAAAGCUUCUAGUGGAAAUGCAUAUACGGCCCGUACCAAAACCGACACAGGUGGGCGCGCAGAGGAUGCGAAGGUGAGCGAGAGAACUGUUGCCAAGGAACUCGGCAAAAUGGCCCCGUACGUUCGCAAGAAGGGGCGCUCGAAAGAGCCGCAGUGAAAAGGCCCAAGCGACUGUUUAACUAAAACACAGCUCCCUGCGAAGCCGCAAGGCGAAGUAUAGGGGGUGACACCUGCCCGGUGCUGGAAGGUUAAGGCAAGCUGUGAACCGCGAGGUGAAGCAGUGACCCGAAGCCCCAGUGAACGGCGGCCGUAACUAUAACGGUCCUAAGGUAGCGAAAUUCCUUGUCAGGUAAGUUCUGACCCGCACGAAAGGUGUAACGAUUUGGGCGCUGUCUCGGCAGCAGACUCGGUGAAAUCUUAGUACCUGUGAAAAUGCAGGUUACCCGCAACUAGACGGAAAGACCCCAUGGAGCUUUACUGCAGCCUGGUAUUGGGUCCUGGACAGCCAUGUACAGGAUAGGUGGGAGACUUAGAAGCGAGUACGCAAGUAUUGGUGGAGUCGCCGGUGGGAUACCACUCCUGGAUGUAUGGGGCCCUAACCCGUGUGCCGAGAGGGACAGGGGAGAGUGCCAGGCGGGCAGUUUGACUGGGGCGGUCGCCUCCCAAAGAGUAACGGAGGCGCCCAAAGGUACGCUCAGGUUGGAUGGGAACCAACUGAAGAGUGCAAAUGCAGAAGCGUGCCUGACUGCGACAGAGACAACUGGAGCAGGGACGAAAGUCGGGAUUAGUGAUCCGGCGGUGCCGAAUGGAAGGGCCGUCGCUCAACGGAUAAAAGCUACCCUGGGGAUAACAGGCUGAUCUCGCCCAAGAGUUCACAUCGACGGCGAGGUUUGGCACCUCGAUGUCGGCUCAUCGCAUCCUGGAGCUGGAUUCGGUUCCAAGGGUUGGGCUGUCCGCCCAUUAAAGCGGUACGCGAGCUGGGUUCAGAACGUCGUGAGACAGUUCGGUC
rnacentral:rRNA from 1 species